ensembl:lncRNA
UCCCUCCUCCAGCCCUCUGAAUCCAGUCCAUUUAAAAUGUCCUUUGAAAAGGUCUCUGUUUGGGUGAGUGCCGUGGGCUCUGCCUAGAGAGCGGCAGAUUAUCUGAAAAUAGGUGUUAUUGAUUACAACCAGGUGGUCUUUGUGGAAAGGCGUCCACUUGAACCAAAAUAAAUAUUUGCCGGCACAAAGAACAAGCCGGUCCCUGUUGCGGGGCGGGGGCGUUCUGGCGGCCGCGCCAGCAGCCAGCGGCCCCUUCUGGCCUCCGGCGGCCGCGGGGCGCGUCGCUGCGCAGCCCGGGGAUUGUGUUUCUUCAAUUAGGACAGAAACGCGCAGGGGGUGGCCGGGGGAGCACAAAGGCCCCGCCGCCUCCAGUGCCAGAGGCCCGCGGCCGAGGGCCGGCUGCAGGCUCGCAGCCCGCUCGGGCCUGGCGAUCGUAUUUUCUUUGGCUUUCUGGCGCGCUCCUUAUUAUUUAUUUCUUUUCUCUCUGUUUUAUUUUUAUUUUCAAGUUGCCGGCCGGGCUGGAUGCCGUCCAUUCACCCCGCUGCCUUGGAGCGCGGCGCGCAGACAGCCGGAGCCGGCUCGGGCUCAGCCCCGCGGUAACAGGUUCCUCCCUAACCCAGCGUCCUCUUGCUUCCAGAAGACAUUCCUGGUGGCUGCUUUGCCGUGGUCUCUCUGCCGGCAGUGUACUAAGUGUUGUCAAGUAGAAUUUCAAGACACUUACAACAUCCCUGCCUCUGUCCCUCUUUGGCACCAAUUUCCUUCCUUCCCCAGAUCAUAGCAAGAGCUGCCAUUAAGUCCAACGUGGCAUAAAGCAGUAUGCCACAGGCCAGCCCCUGUGGAGUUAGCGUGACUUUCCAUUCCAGAAGGGAACUCAGGGCAUGGAGAGACAUCGGUAGGUGCCUCAUUAUGCCUUGUGCUCUUCAGCUUUCCCCUGAGAAGUCACUUCUGACAAGAAACACUGGCUACCCGAAGCCAUGGCUAGUGAGGGCCAGCUAAUUACAGGGACCUCCCAUCGUAGGAUCAGGUUGAGGUAAGACCUGGAGCAGGAAUUACCUUAUCAAGGCAGAAAUACGUCAGCAGGCUCAGUCAUGAGCAAAGCUGUCCCCAGAUUUGCAAGAAAAAGACGGCUUAGUGGUGGAUGAUGUGAUGACUGCUCGGAGCCUGAAAAUACAUCGUGUGGCAUCCAGAAGCAGAAUUUUUUCAAGAACCAACAACAAUCUCUAAGGAUGUGUAAUUUGUUGAUUCCACCACUCAUUAGAAAGCCAGCUCUAGUGUGCAGGUCUUUGGAAUCACCUCAGGCGCCUACAGAUUCUAUCUCCAGAGUCAGCAGUGGAGCCCAGGGAUCCUGCACUUACAACAAAUGCUCUCAGAGGAUUGUGGACACAGCGUGGCCUGGCACAUACCCUCAGUGGUGUGCUGGUGAAUGCUUGACAACUUGCUCUCGACGGGGGUAGGGUCCUGAUUUGCAGCCUUUGCUGAUUUCCAGGGUACAAAUGCUUGCACGGUGGCCAAUUUCAAGCUACCGAUGGGAAGAGUCUGAACUCGGAUCUGGGAAGAGACACUCACAACUGGCUCUUGUAACUGGGACCCUCCUGAGAGACACAGCAAUGAAGUGAUAGGUCUUUGGGGGCAGAAGCAGGAGAGGAGGCUAGAUUCAAGGACUCUGCCCACUGCACCACACCAUACCUCCCUGUCCUCUUAGUAAGCAGAAAUCGUGACCGCAGAGCCCACGGGUGAGCCCCUCACACUAAUGGCUUUGACCACAGCCCGAACGAAAUCAGGAAGCAGAAAAGAAACAAACACUUGCAGUCUGUCUUUCCUUCCUCUUCACUUUGCAAUGGAGUCCUUAAGAAUGUGGUCCGGCUGGAGAAAAAAAAAACCUGAGUGCCCAACUCCUGGGGUUUGUGUUCUUUGAGGGGAAAGCGAAAGAGGCAAGGGAACAAUUCUGGGAAAUGUGGGCAGAGUCCUGGCAAAUUUCAGAGGCCAAAUAGAAGGCAUUUUCGCCAGCUGGCCCUGAACGAUUCUAUGCAGGGCCUCAGAGACACUGUGGCAGGAUGGGGACAGGGAGGCCAGCAGAGUGGUUGGUCAUGCUGGGACAAAGAGGACAAAGAGAAGGCUAUGGUUCCUCUUUUCGUGUUUCAUUCAGGGGCAGCAUAAGAAAACCACAGAUAUUAAGUUCACACGAAAACUACAUUAAAAAAAAUGAAAACAAAAGAAGCAUCUGAUCAGAUCCUCUAGAACGAAGUUUAGAGAUGGCCCUUAUUUAGAGACAUCCCCACACAUAGAGUCAUGUUUCUAAUUAUUCAGGCCUCUGCUGGCUCUUGCUUACUGAGAGCUCCAGUUCACAGAAUCAUGGAAUUAUAGAGUUCAUUGUAGAGAGAAGAAAAACCUGAGGCCCAGAGAGGUAAAAUAAUUUGCCCAAGAUCACACCGCUAUUCAUUCAGCAGCAGUUAGAAUUCAAAUGUCCUAGGUCUAGGCGGGGCCUGGACCUUUAUCUUAUCUAGACCCCUCGACCCUAUAAUGUAUUCUCUCUGAGUUAUCUUCUACUUAAAAUUACUGUAAAAAAAAAUGCAUGGCUGUAAAAGAAAAUCUGCAAAAUAGAGACUAUUAAGAAAAUGACAAUAAACAUAACCAUCGUGUUACCA